rnacentral:lncRNA from 1 species
AAAGGGCAAACUUCGAAUACCACUCCUGUAGUUUCAUACUUUCUUACUUUAGUAUUCUAUAGUUUAAAGUGUAUUAAUUUAGUACCUUGUGAUUUUAUUUUCUGUUUUCGCCAGCUCCUCUGUUAACAUUUCAUUAAAUUAUAUACAAAAAAUUUCAGAUACCCCACCUAAGUUUAUCGAAUAUUCACUUUAGUACCUUUUAGUUUUAACUUUGUCACCGAUUUAACGAAAAAAAAUUAGUGGAAGGAAUAAUAAAAAUAAAAUGAAAUCACGGAGUACUAAACUGAUACACUUUAAACUAUAGAGUACCAACGUGAGAAAGUGCAAAACCGCAUGGAUAGUAUUUGAAGUUUUCAAGUACAAACCUUUUCUAUUAGUAUUGGAAGAAGAAUAAAAAAGGAAAAAUUAUAAAAAUGUAUUGGGACACCCUCACAUUUUAAUAGUUUUGAAAUAGACCCUCCACCUUUUGUGUUUUUCUUCUGGGUAAACUUUAAUUUGGUAUAGUUUAUUUUUACUUUGUCAUACUAUAGUUUAAAAAAUUAUACCUAACCAUUCUGUGAUAUCAUUUUUGUUUCAGUAAUAAAAGUUGCCAUCAAAUAGGAUAGCAAGGUGAAUUUUUUAAAAAACUACAGAGUGAUUACGUGCCACUUUUUGAAUCACAUGAUGGCAAAGUGAAAAUCAACUAAACCAUAGGACGACAAAUUGAAAUUUAGCAAAUUUUUUUUAAAGCAACGCUAUGAACGAUCUCCACCAUUAGAUUGUGGUUUUAAAAGCAUCCAUUUUAUAUUUUGAAAGGUUAAAGAAAUAUUUAGAUUUUUUUUGAAUUUUUGAAUUUAAAGUGGUUGCAUGCUUCGUGGAUAGGGGUUGUCACCACAAUUUUGUAUCAUGAGAGAAGGAAAGAUUGAAAGCACUCUCAAAUUUUUUAGAUUUUCAAAAGUAUGAAACCUAGUACUUUUAUAAAUUAACCCUUAGUGACAUUUCCAAUGUUUUAACUCUUUUUAUCUGAGUAAUUUUUCUACAAUUGAUUUAGAUAUCAUGAAAAUUAAUGACUUUGUUAGUUGCUGACCGUCACCAGUUGAUAAAAUUUGAGAUUUCAUCAGUAGAAAAAAGUGUGUUGAACAACUAAAUUAACAAAAUAACCACCCGAUUUUAACAAGAUCUCAAGUUGUUUUUCAUCACUGCACAAUUUGAAUUUAAAAAAGAAAAUCAAAAGUUGAUAGGGCAUUAAUCCAAAGAAAAAUAGUUGAAAGGCCUAGCGCAAAAAAAGUAUAUGAGUGAGGGGUUAUCUGUAAAUUUUUCUGAAGAAAAAUCAGAAAAGAUAAUAACUAAUAAUUAAAGCACAUGGUGAAAGGCACCUACUGGGGAAGAACAUGGACUUCUUUGCACACAAAAAACAAGAUGUAAAUUUAGAGUUAAGAAUAAAAAUUAGCAGCAGAUUUUACUAUGCCCCAAAGUAUCUGUGGUUGAAAAAAGUAAAAUACACUGUAUCAAGUGUAGUUGGCUAAAAAUUUGAUGAUUCACAUUCGAGAUUUUCUUAUUAUCUUUUUUUUUUUUUCUUUUUUAAGUAAGAGGCCGACAUUAUUAAAUUAAAUGAAAGAAUUAUUUUUCUCACGUCCGGAUUCAAAUUUAUGACCUACUGCUCUGAUACUUCUUGUGAAACAACCGUUAUUAUCUGAAAACUUAAAUCAGUAGAGAGUGAUAUUUUUAAUUUUUAAUAUUUAAAUGGCAUGAGAUACACAUGAAUCCAAGUCAAAGAUUCCAACUAAAGAUGCUAAUGAAAUCUUUAAUGCAGAAAAUUCGAUGCCCAAAAGUUGUGGGCACGACGAAUAAAGACAAAAGUUAUCAAUGGAGAAAGAGUUUGUAGAUUACAAGAUACCAACACAAGAAGAGUCUUUUUUUGAGUACUUUUUUCUCUUGCUUCUCUCCUUCGUUAGAUAAUGACCACUUUUGGACUAAUUAAGUGUCUCUCUCUCUCUCUCUCUCUCUCUCUCUCUCUCUCUCUCUCUUAAUUCUCUGCAGUGCACUUCUAAAAACCUGUAAUAAAGAUUUCAAAAUCAAAAUCUAACUCAUUAAAUGUAUUCUAUAAUACAAGAUCUAAACCUGAACUCACCCAGAAGAAGAUCGUUCACAGAGGACUGGAAUGCGGUGUGAUCUUAGGUUCUAUGUUAGUUAAUUCGCGAAUUAUUCGAAAAUUAUUCGCGAAUUAUUAAAAAUCCGAAUUAAACGGUCCGUUUACGAAUUUUUUCCAUAGAUAGAGAAUUAUUCGCGAAUUAUUCCCGAAUUAUUGAAAAUAUGAAUAAAAAAUAUAUAUAAUUUUUAUAUUUAAAUAUAAAUUAUCUUAUAUUUUAUAUCUUAUAUCUUAUAUUUUAUGCCGAAUCCGUUUUUAAGCCGAAUUUUUCAACGAAUUUAAAGAUUAGAAAACAAAUUUUAUGCGUAUUAUAUCCGUACCGAAUUUUUGCCGAAUCGGAAUUAACUAACUAUGCUUUGGUUAGAUGAGGCAAAGAAUUUUGAAAGAAAAGGUAAAAAAAUUAAAAUAUAUAUCUUUUUGGUAAAAAUGAUCAGAAUGUUCUAACUAGUAUUCAAAAAUUUGACUGUUAGAUAGGGCAUUUUGGUUAAAAACUAAAGAUUAAUAAUAUUAAAAAGUUAGCUCUAUUGUUGGUAUUUUAGUUUUUUUAAAAAUUUAUAAAAUUUUUAAAAGAGUUUUAAAAAAGUUAAGUAUAAUUUUGUAAAUUAGAAAUUAUAAGUCAAAAAGUUAUAAUUUAAAAAUUAGUUAGAUUUUUUUCUAAAAAAAUAAUUUUUUUCAAAAAAAUAUAACAAAAGAAGGUUGGGAGAACUUUUAAAAACCACCCUUUUUACCGGGCGGGCACGAAGCUCGGCCCGUGCAGGGCGAAACGGAGGAUCACGGCUCGGCCCAAAUUUAUAACUGGGUCGGGCCGGGCCAAUACUUAGCCCGAAUCGGCCCGAAUAAUGUGAGCCGUGUCAGCCUGCCACGGCCCACAUUACACUCCUAGAAUGUUCUAGCGCAAGUGAUAAAAGAUUUGGUAGUUGGUAUCUGAGGUCUCAAGUUCGAGUCCUAGUUGAUUUACAUUUUCAGCUAAGUUUAUUAUUUUUAAAAGAAAUAAACAAAGCGGAUAGUAUGUUAUCUUUCUCUCUAAAAAAAAAAAUAAUUGCAUAUAAUUUUAUAAGACUUAAAAAUAAAUUAAAAAUCUUUUUUUUUCUUUCGAUUUUGAUAAUAUGCCAUAAUGAUGUCAAUAAGUUAGAAUACAAAAAAUAAGUUUCUUUUUUUUUAUAUUUUGAAGCUUUAUAAAACUAUAUGUAAUAUAUAAGAUCAAAACGAAUGCAUAAUUAAUAACUUUAAUUACAUAGAGCAGUUUAUACUAUAUAGCAACUACACUGCAUUAUCAAAACUCAGCCAAUCACAUCUAUCUUUUGACAGAAAAAUACAAUAAAAAUAUUUUUCUUAGAACUCAUGAUGAGAUGAAUGAAGAAUCGUGUGCAUUAUUCGUUGGAAAUUUUCUGGAAUAAGCCGUCGCAUCUUCCUUAGCUUCCUUAUGAGAGAUAUCCAAUCAAUCAGAAUUGAGAUUAAAGUUGAUCUUUAUCCUCGCCGCGUCCUUUAUAUGGAAAUCAGAGUACAAUCAGAGUACAGUCGUACUGAUGAGAAUUUUACCCCACAAGAAAUUGAACAAAAAGCUGCCGAAUUGGCCUAUUUCUUGCGCGUACCAAUUGAAGUAUUUUGAAAUGAAUUGAACACAAUAAAGAAUAAAUGUUUUCUCGGCAUGGGGGGAGGAACUUGCUAAUUCCUUUUUUAAUACAUCACAUCACCUGUAUGAUGGCCACAUUAUAGACAUUUUUACUAGUAAACUAGGCUCCCGUAAUUUUACGGGAAAAUAUGGCACAAGCUUCUACCACUAAUUAGUAACUUUCCAGCGUAACAAUGAUUUAAUUAUUGAGUUUUUGAACAUGUGAGACAUGCUUUAUGCUUUUCUUGUGGUCAACCAUACGACACAUUGUGAUAAUAAUAAUAAUAAGCAUAGAUUUUCGAAAGAGUUUUUUUUUUUCCAUUCAAUGGUAGAAGCAUAAUAAUAAUAUACAGGAAAACUUAAAACAACUCUCCAUUGACAUAAUUCUCCCCAAAAGUAAAACAAAUCAUUAUAUGUUGGCAAACAACACCUAGAGAGAGAGAGAGAGAGAGAGAGAGAGAGAGAGAGAGAGAUCUUUUCACAUAGAAAUAUCGAGAGAGUAAAAAGUGAAAAAGAAAACCAAAAGAACUUGAAACAAAAGCCAAGAUCAACUACAGAAAAAGUCGCAUGAUUUUUCGGGCUUGUUUGGUAUUGAGUUUCGAUGCGUUCCCGUGCGCCCCCAGAAUAGCUAAUCAGAAAUAGCUAUCAUUUGGUAGGAACCCCAGAAGUCGUCGCUAAUUCAAACUGCACAGUUAGUUCAAACAAAGCAAGAGUGAGUAGCGAGAUGGCCCUUCAAAAAUCCAAAAUUGUGCAGUUGAUUCGAACUGCUUAUUGCUAUAUCUCUACAUGAUCCCUUUGAGCGAUGCCGCUGAGAAAAUUGCCGAGCAACCUCUGAUCCAUCACCAUAUUCGGUACCUGCAUUGAGAUUUUGUCACAAUUGGGUACUCAAUAAGCAGGGGCGUAAAUGCAUGGUUGUUUCUGAACGUUUACUUAUUAUGAUUUGGUUCUUGAAUUAUUCACUAAAACAAUUUUUAUCCGCAAUCCCAGAUUCACUUUCCAUUCAUACACAUGAAAUUGUGAAUUGCUGGUGGCUUGUCAUGUUAAAACACAAGUUAUUGGCAAAAAAACAAUUAUUGUAUUAAUUAUAGUAAUACAACGUAACAGCAAUCAAGAAUGUUGAUGGACAUCAGGGGGUAUUUUCAUUCUUUUUACAGAAAACCAAUGACACUGCAAAAACAAGAUCAAAUACUAAUCCAUUCAAGUUCAUUCUAGCGACUAAAUCGCGACGAAUCAAAAGUGUUCAGGAACUACUGUACAUGUAUCAAAUAUAAAUAGAAGAAAUGCAAAUAGAAGCUACGCAGAGAUUAAUACCUUGUCUCCAAAGAAGAUUUUCGAGUUAUUGGCAAUCGAUUCAAUGAAUUUGAGUUCAAGAUACUCGGGUGUGAGCUUCAGUCUAUUAGCUUCUGCUUCUUUCGUCACUCUGGAUAAAAUGAAGACAAUGUGUAUCAUCAAUUCAUUAUAUAGACUACAGAGAAAUAUUAUCAUAUUAUAAAUUGCAUAAAUAUCUCUUUACAUAUACAUGUGUGAAAACUAAAAUUUUCAUAUGCAUAUUUAAUAAACUCCGCUUCUUGCAUUAUACUCUUGUACUUAAAAUUAUCCACCUCUAUUGAGAACUUUUGGAGGCUAACUGUAGAUAUAGCCGAUGAAGCUUGAUUCAGAUUCAGUUUAUCGACUGGGAGUUGCGUUUGAAACAAUUUUGUCCCUGAAGUUUGCUUUGGUUUGUCCAUAGAAUAUCAGUUGUAACAAUGUAGUCCAUGAAGUUUCAUUUUUUAUUUAUUCCGUCCUCAUAAUUUGAAUUUUAACAAAGCAAUGUCCAACAAAGUGACGAAGCAGCACAUUUUUUACAUGGGAUUGUUAUGCCGAACAAACUUCAAGGACUAAAUUGUUACAGAUAAAACUUUGAGAAACAAAAUAAAAAAAACCGAGGUAAAACUAUAGGCACAGAUUGGUAAUUAGACCAGUUUUUAUUAUAAAACCAACUUCCCUGUGAAUUGGAUGAAUUGCACUUCCAAGGAGAGAAAAAUUUUGGCUUUUUAUGAAGACCCAACCAGUAAAAUUUCAAUUAAGAAGCAGAAUAUUAUUUGACAUACCUGUAAAAGCUAGCAUCAGCUUGGCUCUUCUCACGUGCGACGUACAUUUGAUUUUCGAUCUCCUGUUGCCUCUUGGCGCUGUCCCUUUCCAUUAGCUUUUGCUCCAUAAGAAUUUUGCUGACCUGAGCAUUUUUUUCUGCUUCUGAGAGAGCUAUUUUCUUCUGGGUUUCGGCUUCCUUUUCUGCGACCUUCUGUCUCUCCAUGGCGAUUAAAGCCUACAAGAAACAGGUUAUGUAAACAAGUCUAUGAUGAAUUCCUGAUCCUCGACGAAAGCAACAAAUAUAGAAUAGAAUGAAAUAAACGUAUAAAAAGCAAAGUGGAUACCUUAGUGCGUUCCUCCUCCAUAAGUUCAAAAUUCCUCUUAAUACUGGCAGGGAUAUUUGGCUUUGUAACACGAACACCGAUAAUUUCAAUUCCAGGAGCAUACUGUGUGCAAUCUCUUUGAAUAGCCUCUUUCAUCUUUUCAUCAAUCUGAAACAUCGUCAUCAUUAAAUAAAUAAAAACCAACAAAAUCACGGAAAAUUUAGCAAUGAACUCUACAUAUUCUUAUUUCUACUAAUUCAUAGGAAUAUUUCAUCUGAGUUCCCAAGGAAGGUUUCAGAUUAAUGUGCUUACCUGAUCAAACAUGUCGAUAUAAACUUGCUGCAGGGUGUGAGCACUGCAGAACUGAUUUAUUUCAUGAUGAAUCUUAUCAUAUAUCCACGUCUUAUCAUAAUGUACGCCAUAAUUGAGCAAAGUUUCAUAGACAUAUUCUUUUCUAAGUCGAUUCACAACCUGCAAACAAGGAAUGUUUAUAAGGGAAAGAUAAGAAAAU